AAUUGGCGAUGAUGAUUAACGUACAGCUUUACGCCAGUUCUGCUUCAGAAAAUUCUUGAUUGAUAGAGCUGAUAUAUCUCUGAGCCUUUU